rnacentral:misc_RNA from 1 species
GAUGAAGAACGCAGCGAAAUGCGAUAAGUAAUGUGAAUUGCAGAAUUCAGUGAAUCAUCGAAUCUUUGAACGCACAUUGCGCCCCCUGGUAUUCCGGUGGGCAUGCCUGUUCGAGCGUCAUUUCACCACUCAAGCCUCGCUUGGUAUUGGGCAACGCGGUCCGCCGCGUGCCUCAAAUCGACCGGCUGGGUCUUCUGUCCCCUAAGCGUUGUGGAAACUAUUCGCUAAAGGGUGUUCGGGAGGCUACGCCGUAAAACAACCCCAUUUCUAAGGUUGACCUCGGAUCAGGUAGGGAUACCCGCUGAACUUAAGUAUAUCAAUAAGCGGAGGA